rnacentral:rRNA from 1 species
GGUGGUCCCACUCCUUCCCAUUCCGAACAGGACAGUGAAACGCCUUAGCGCCGAUGAUAGUUGGUUGUAUUUCCAGUGAAAGUAGGACAUUGCUUGGC